AUUGAACGCUGGCGGCAGGCCUAACACAUGCAAGUCGAACGGUAACAGGAAGAAGCUUGCUUCUUUGCUGACGAGUGGCGGACGGGUGAGUAAUGUCUGGGAAACUGCCUGAUGGAGGGGGAUAACUACUGGAAACGGUAGCUAAUACCGCAUAACGUCGCAAGACCAAAGAGGGGGACCUUCGGGCCUCUUGCCAUCGGAUGUGCCCAGAUGGGAUUAGCUAGUAGGUGGGGUAACGGCUCACCUAGGCGACGAUCCCUAGCUGGUCUGAGAGGAUGACCAGCCACACUGGAACUGAGACACGGUCCAGACUCCUACGGGAGGCAGCAGUGGGGAAUAUUGCACAAUGGGCGCAAGCCUGAUGCAGCCAUGCCGCGGGUAUGAAGAAGGCCUUCGGGUUGUAAAGUACUUUCAGCGGGGAGGAAGGGAGUAAAGUUAAUACCUUUGCUCAUGGACGUUACCCGCAGAAGAAGCACCGGCUAACUCCGU
rnacentral:rRNA from 1 species